GACGAACGCUGGCGGCGUGCUUAACACAUGCAAGUCGAACGGAAAGGCCCUGCUUUUGUGGGGUGCUCGAGUGGCGAACGGGUGAGUAACACGUGAGUAACCUGCCCUUGACUUUGGGAUAACUUCAGGAAACUGGGGCUAAUACCGGAUAGGAGCUCCUGCUGCAUGGUGGGGGUUGGAAAGUUUCGGCGGUUGGGGAUGGACUCGCGGCUUAUCAGCUUGUUGGUGGGGUAGUGGCUUACCAAGGCUUUGACGGGUAGCCGGCCUGAGAGGGUGACCGGCCACAUUGGGACUGAGAUACGGCCCAGACUCCUACGGGAGGCAGUAGUGGGGAAUAUUGCACAAUGGGCGGAAGCCUGAUGCAGCUACGCCGCGUGCGGGAUGACGGCCUUCGGGUUGUAAACCGCUUUCGCCUGUGACGAAGCGUGAGUGACGGUAAUGGGUAAAGAAGCACCGGCUAACUACGUG
rnacentral:rRNA from 1 species